rnacentral:misc_RNA from 1 species
UCUCCGUUGGUGAACCAGCGGAGGGAUCAUUACAGAGUUUUCUAACUCCCAAACCCUUUGUGAACUUACCAUUCUGUUGCCUCGGCGGGCCUCUGGGAUUCGUCCCAUGUCCGCCGGCGGCCCCUUACUCUUUGCCUCUCGCGUUGUCUCUCCGAGUAUCGCAGAAUGCAUAAAAACUUUCAACAACGGAUCUCUUGGUUCUGGCAUCGAUGAAGAACGCAGC